AACGCGAAGAACCUUACCUACCUUUGAAUCCACGGAAUCUUACAGAGAUGUAGGAGUGCCUUCGGGAACCGUGAGACAGGUGCUGCAUGGCUGUCGUCAGCUCGUGUCGUGAGAUGUUGGGUUAAGUCCCGUAACGAGCGCAACCCUUGUCCUUAGUUACCAACGAGUUAUGUCGGGGACUUUAAGGAGACUGCUGGUGAUAAACCGGAGGAAGGUGGGGAUGACGUCAAGUCCUCAUGGCCCUUACAGGUAGGGCGACACACGUGCUACAAUGGCCGGUACAAAGGGUAGCCAACCCGCGAGGGGGAGCUAAUCUCAAAAAGCCGGUCGUAGUCCGGAUUGGAGUCUGCAACUCGACUCCAUGAAGCUGGAAUCGCUAGUAAUCGCGGAUCAGAACGCCGCGGUGAAUACGUUCCCGGGCCUUGUACACACCGUAGAGAC
rnacentral:rRNA from 1 species